rnacentral:lncRNA from 1 species
CUAACGGGUGCCAGUUAUGCCAUUACAAAUUAUCCCCUCUUCAUACAUUUCCUUAAAAUUCUUCUGAAACACCAAAACUAAAUAAUCGAAUAUGGCUUUGCGGGUCGAUGAUGCCAGCAACAAUGAGGCUGCAAUUAUCACUUGUUUAGUUUCUAUGCUUGCCGUGGUUUAUUUCGUAUGGAAUGUGAACAAAUCAAGGAAAGCAAAUGCUAAACUGCCACCAGGACCUCGCGGUUUGCCUGUAGUCGGAUACCUCCCAUUUCUCGGAACUACUGACUUGCACAAGAAAUUCACGGAAUUAUCCGGAGUUUAUGGUCCGAUCUUCAAGCUCUGGCUCGGAAAUAAAUUAAGUGUCGUGGUGAGCUCACCUUCCCUAGUUAAACAAGUGGUUCGUGAUCAAGAUACAACAUUCGCAGACCGUGACCCGCCGAUCUCAGGACUAGUGACCUCCUUUGGUGGCAAUGAUAUUACAUGGUCCAAUUACGGUCCCGAAUGGAGAAAGUUGCGCAAAUUUUUUGUGGGCAAGAUGAUGAGUAACGCAAGCCUUGAUGCUUGUUAUGCUUUAAGAAAACAUGAGGUUAAAAAUACUAUCAGGGAUUUGUAUAACAACGGCAACAAAAUUGGUAAGCCCAUUGACAUUGGUGAAUUGUCGAUUUCAACAUUGGUAUGUGCUAUGCAGAACAUGCUGUGGGGUGAAGCGCUUGAAUUAAAAGAGAAAGGGACAACUAAUCUUGGGGUUGAGCUAAAAUUUAAGUUUGCAGAACUCAUGGUGCUACUGGGAACACCGAAUAUUUCGGAUAUCUUUCCAAUGCUUUCUUGGCUCGACAUACAAGGUAUAGAGAGGAGAGCAAAGAAGAUUUCACUCUGGUUUGAAAAAAUUAUAAAUUCUACUGUUGAAAAGUAUAGAAGCAAGGACUUUAAUGUUGAAGGUAAAGAAAGAGCAGGGGAAAAUUUUGAAGGAUCAAGGAACAAGAACUUCUUGCAGUUACUAUUGGAGCUUCAAGAAAAUGAAGACGGUUCUUCCUCAAUUAGCAUGAACCAAUUUAAGGCCGUACUCGUGGUAUGUUAAGAAACUAGCCGCAAACAGUUAUACAAGCACAGCUGUAUAUUUUGCAUGAGUGAUAUUUUCAACCUUUUUUUUUUAUAAUUAGAAUUUUAUUGUAACCUUUUGGACAGGAUAUAAUUACGGCUGGAACCGACACCACAACUACGAUGGUGGAAUGGACAAUGGCAGAGUUGAUGCAGCAUCCACAAAUAAUGAAGAAAGUUCAGGAAGAAUUAGCUCAAGUUGUGGGCAUGGACAGUUGUGUUGAAGAAUUUCAUUUGCCUAAAUUGAAAUAUUUAGAUGCUGUGGUGAAAGAAUCGUCUCGUCUGCAUCCUGCAGUGCCUUUAUUACUACCACGCAGAGCAAGCGAGAGUGGCAGCAUUGGUGGCUAUAACAUUCCCAAAGAUACAACUAUUAUGUUGAAUGUUUGGGCAAUCCACAGGGACCCUAAACUUUGGGAUAAUCCCUUAGAAUUUCGACCCGAGAGGUUUCUAGAUGAUGGUAUCGCGAGUAAGUUCGAUUACUCAGGUAACAAUUUUCAGUACUUGCCAUUUGGUUCUGGUAGAAGGAUGUGUGCUGGGAUUCCUCUAGCUGAGAGGAUGCUGAUGUUUGUUUUGGCUUCGUUAUUGCACUCAUUUGAGUGGGAAUUGCCAGCUGGCACAAAGCUAAACUUAUCUGAAAAAUUUGGGAUUGUCAUUAAGAAAAAAGAGCCUUUAGUUGCUAUUCCAACACCAAGACUAUCCAAUUCAGAGCUCUACCAUUAAGACAGAAUGGUUGUGAUGAUUUUGUUAAUUUCCGAAGAUUUGUAUGUUAUGUCAAGUUCAAUCGUAAUAAAAUAUUUCAAAUAAGAGUCCUCCGUUGCUUUUUUUUUUUUUUUCAACCGCAUAAUCUGUCGUCAUGCUUGUAUUUGGGGCUACUUUGGAAUAAUUAUGUUUGAAUUACAAUAUAUAAAUAUUACAUUUUAAAAUUUUAUGAGAUUCUAAAUUUAUACACGUUCAAUAACCCACUUCAUAUAUGUUUAACACAAUUUAUAUCAUACAUUGUAUACCCAUUUGUCAUAAAUUACGCUAUUUUAUAUCUCUAAAUAAUAUUACAUAUUGAUAUUAUAAAAUGUUGUUAACUCACGUGUGUAUAUAUAUAUAGCAAGUCACGUGCAUAUAUUAUUGGUUGUUAUAUGUUUGCUAGUUUGAUAGGAUUUCCUUUCCUUGUGAACUAGGGUAAUUCUUAUGUACAUAUAAAUAUUGAUCAAUAAGAGUGCAGAUGAUGACUGCAGUUUUGCAUCGUAGAAAUUCUUCGUAAAAUAUAUAUGUUUAUCAAAAGGCUAUACCAUUCAAUAUAUAUUGGAAAGAGAACAAAGAAGAUCUUCUUAUGGUUUGAAAAUAUUAUGAAUUCUGCUGUUGAACAGUAUGGAAACAAGGUCUGUUGUUAAAGGUGAAGAAGUCACAGGGAACAAUAUUGAAGGAAGAAAUUUCACGUUUAGUUGCUGAAUUUGCCGCUGUAUUCUAUCGGUAGUAAAAAGAUUAGAGUUUUUAUUUUUCUCUAUUAAUGUUAAGUCAAUUUUCUAUAACAAAUUCGGUUGAGUUUAAUUGUGUUACAAUAUAAAUUGAAUGAUAGUAGAAUUUUCAACGAAUAAUUCAAUAUUUCUAUCUCGAUUGUUGAAGUGCCAUUUAUUUGUUAUACGAUCGAUUUUAAAAUUUAUAAAAUUAUUUGUUACUAAAUUGCAUCAUAUGCUAAAUCACCUGAAACCUAAUUUCAUAACUAACCCUUUAUUUUUAGUUCUCAAGAAAUCUUGUAAGAACAAAAUUCUUUUGUAACAAAACGUUUACAACAAAUUAAUUUGUAACUCAUUCCUGUGCGAGAAUCACUCUCAAUUUCCUUCAAUUGCUGUUUAACAAUCAUCUGCUUAUCAAAAUUCAAGCAUAAUCUUUUUUUUUAAUUUCUUCAUCAUUCUUUUGAAAAAAAAAAUCAGGAUAUGCUGUUAAAUUUUGAAAUAAAUUAUCUCAAAAUAAUUACUAACCAGAAAAAACAAAGGGGUUUAACUAGGUUAUGCAUACCUUUGAAAAUUAUAUGUUGAUCGAUAAGAAUGAUGAUCACGAUUGACGAGUUUAAUUAAAAUAUAUAAGAUUUUAAAAUUAAUCAGGGUUAAAUUGUGAAUUUUAGAAAGAGAGGUUUUGUGAGAAUGUUGAAAGGGUGUUAAUAGUUCCACUCUUUUUAAAAACAACCAUAGUCAUCAUUUUUCCAUGGUUGUUUUUAAAAAGAGUAUUUCUUCUUCCCAUCUCCAUCUUAUUUAGAAAUUUCCCAGAGCCUUUGUUUCCCACCUUUCAUUUUUCUUCUUUCUAAUUUAAUAAUCCACCCUUCUUGUAUUCAAACUAAAAAAUUAAAAUCUGAAAAUUUAAAACCCAAUAUUAUAGUAUUAUAAAAAUAAUUACUCACAUUUUAUCAAACACCUCCAUUCUUCCAAGGCCUUGUUUUAGUAGUAGGCUUUUAUUAUCUCAAUAAAAUUGAAAAAAAAAAUCUCAAUAAUAUUGGAAAAAAACCCUACCCAUAUUUGUAACUUUAAUUUAUUAUUCUCCAUAGACCUACUUUUUAGUUUUGAAUUUUGUUGGAGCCAUAUAUAAACAGAAUAUGUUGAAAUCAGCACCCAAAAAAAAAAAAACUAAUUAUAUAAUUUAUGUUCCCAAGGACAUGGCUGAGUGAUUUUCAAGAAGUUUUGUUUGGCUGGCCACUUAGGUUUAAAUCUUGGUGGAGAUUAAGGGUUAAGAAAUAAAUUUAGACUUUGCACACCCCUUUAACUUUUAAAAAGAAAUGAAAAAAUUAAUUAAUUAAUCUUUAUUUUAUUUAUUAAAUGUCAUAAUCCUAUGCGUAUUUUAUUUGUUAUCUUUCUAUUUAAAAGACGAGGGCAGAUAAAACUGAAAUAAAUUUUUAGCCCUAUCUCCAUAUUUCAAGUUCCAUAGUUAGGUGACCAGCUAAAAAAAAUUAAUUGAAAGCUACUCCAUCAAAUUAAAAAAAUUUAUUUAUUUAAUUUGUGGAGAUGUAGAAAAUCAAACCCCAUACCUUUUCGCAUACACUGAACAUAUUUUAAUACAUGACUAUCAUCCUUUAUCCUAAAUACUACUAUAACUAAUAACAUACAAUUGAAAUAAUUAAUGUUAACACUUGGCUAUAAAUAAAGGUUUUGUGCUUGAAUCUUCACGCAUGACCUUCAUUCCUUUAUUGACUUUGCUAACACAGAUUUUGAGGCAUUAAAACUAAAUAAUAAUUGACUUUGUGGGCCGAGGAUGCCAGCAACAAGGAGACCACAAUUAUCACUUAAGUUACUCUAAUUGCCGUUGUCUUAUAUUCAUAGAAUAUUAGUAAUAAGAUUAUUGCAGAAUUUUUUUAAUAUUAAAAUUAAGUCAAUUUGUUAUAACAAAUUUAGUUGAGUUUAAUCGUGUUACUACAUAAAUUGAAUAAUAAUAGAAUUCUCGACAAAUAUUUCAAUAUUUUUAUCCCAAGCGUUGGAGUGGCAUUUAUUUGUUAUACGAUCGAUUUUAGAACUUAUAAAAUUAUUCGUUACUGAAUUGCACCAUAUGCUGCAUGACCUGAAACUUAAUAAACGGAAUGUAGCGUUGGCACCGUUACUCAACAUACUGUUACGACUUUGUGACAUUAGAAUUAAAAUCUUUUGCACAUUUAAUUUGUUUACUUCAAAAUUAAUAUUUAACAAAAUAUUUUUUUCACAUUAUCAAUGGACAAAACUCCAACGAAAAUAACUACACAAGAAAAAUGUAUGCUAGUAUUGUGUGCCAUAUCAUCUGUAAUUUUGUCAGGAUCGAACACUCUAAUUUUUAAGCAGAACUUUUUAUCAAUGGACAAACACCUCACACAGCUUGUCAGAGGCAUUAUUAUGAUAGAAAACUGUAAUGGUAUAUCUUGAAUUAUUGGUAGAAUAGUUCUUUGGAGCAAUAAAAAUAGAUAAGACAGAUGAGAAAAUUGUCAAUACCCCACCGCAAAAGCAAAAGAAAAAAAGGAAAGGAGACAAAAGAGGAAGAAGAAAAAAAGGAAAGGAGACAAAAGAGGAAGAAGAAAAAGAAAAAAGAACGAAGAAAAAAAUGGUGCCGCGCUGUAUUGGGAAGAAGAAAAAAAUUAAUAAAAUAAUAAUAAAUAAUAAAUAAUAAAUAAUAAAAUAAUAGUGCACAACAAUCAUUUGAUUGCUAUAAAUAAAGGGGCAUUUUCCUCAUUUUAUUCAUCGAAUUCUUCAGUUCCUUUCAAGCGAUUUAAGAGUCUAGUGAUUUGAGAGUUUGGGAGUAUUGUGAUUUUGAGUACUAAGUUAAAAUACUAUAAUACUUGUAACUCAUUUUCACUAGUAAAAUAUUUUUCUUCUGUCUUCGCCCGUAGACGUAGGCUAAAAGCUGAACCACGUAAUUUCUGGUGUCCCUAUGUGAUUAUGUGUCUCAUUAUUUCUCAAUUUUACUUUAGUUACGUGUCUGCUACACCCUUCAAUUUACUAACAAAAAUGGCCAAAAUUAUAUAAGUGACCCAAAUUUUUUUGCUAUUUCCAAGAAAUCCCCAAUCGGAAUAGACCAAACUAGAGGGAGGCAAGUUAGAAAUACGUUUCCUUCAUAAACAAUAACAGCGAUGAGUCGAUGACAUCGAGCCACGUCGGUAUCAAUAUUGAAUUAAAGGUGCAAUUAUUCAGCCAAUGAGCCUUACACAUCAAGAUAAAAGUCAAGAAAAUGAAAAAUUUAUCCUAAUUAAAACACUUUCUGGCUGCAUUUAGCUGUUUCUAUUUGAAGUUAAAAACAACAUUUCUUUCGUUUUGUGGGCAACUCGACUGAGUUCGCUGGCUUCUAGUGCUAGUAUGUGAAAAUAGAAGGCUAAUGAUUUAUUUGUUAUCUUUUGACAAAAAAUGUUAAAGAUAUAAUAGAUUUUCCAUGAUACAAAUGAAAAAUUAUAUCAACAUAACUUCCAAGCUACAGCAGCUAGUGUUUACCAAACACUUUGCUGUAGCUUUUAAGCUACAGCUGCCCAACCUCAAUAGGUUGAUUGAAUUUGUGGGAUAUAGAUUCCACAUAUCUCAUGACCUAUUAAUUAUACAAGUGGUUCUUGAUCAAGAACAACAUUUGCUUCCGACCCAGUAACCCAGCAACUGCUGCACUGGUCGCCACCUAUGGUGCCGACGAUAUUGCAUGGUCCAAUUAUGGCCUUGAAUGGAAAAAGUUGAGCAAAUUAUUUGUGGGCACGAUGAUAAGUAACGCAAGCCUUGAUGCUAGUUAUGGUCGAAGAAAACAAGAGGUUAAGAAUACUAUCAGAGAUAUGCAUAACAACAAAAAGGAAAAAAAAAAAAAAAGGCAUUGGCAAGUCAAUUGAUAUUGCUGAAUUGUCGAUUUCAACUUUGGCAUGUGUAAUUCAGACAUUGCGCGUUGUGGUAUGGCGCUGGCACGCUUGCAUUGCCGAGAGGACAAAUCUUGGGGCUGGGCUAAAAUUUAGGCUUGUAGAACUCAUGGUGCUAAUGGGAACGCCAAAUUUUUUUAACAUAUUUCGGUGCUUUCAUGGUUUAAUUCAAGGUAUAGAAAGGAGUGUUGAGAAUGUCAAAUAAAACGACAUUGAAUGGAAGUUGUCAAAGACAUGAUCCGCACUGAACGGCAAUGACACGGUUGGUAAAGAUUUUUUCAUAAUAUGCGUAUCUAAUUUUUGAAAAAUUGUAACCUCUGCUUCUAUAAAUAUGCUCAAUGUAUAAUGUUUUACUUAAGAAAUGAAAAACUUAAUUCUUUAUGGUAUCAGAGCGAGGCUCGUUGCUCUGUUUGUAACAAAAACAAAGAAAACUAAAUUCUUCCCACAACUAUUUUUCCACCUUUUUUUCUUCCUUAAAAGCAUUCCUAGCAUUACAGAAACCCAUGCCAAUAAAAGAACAAGCCACACAUAUGUAAAAACUUUAGUUUACAAAUCUAUCAACAUCCCCAUAAAUUUUCCCAAAAAGUGAUCUUCAAAAACCAAAAAUACCAUCAAUUUUCGCAUCUUCUAGUAAACAAACUAUAAAAGUUUCGCACUCAAACAGAGCCACACGCGCCUCCACGCGCUUCCCGGAAUCACGGCCAACCACCACGCGCCUCUGUCACCACCAACUCACCCUCAUGCGCUCCAGAUGUUGCAGAAGACGCAAAACGACGUGUCGUUUUCUUCUCUAAAAGUGCAGCAACGUGGAAAUGACUUUUUGUUUUUGCCUUAAAUUGUUUUUCCUCGUUUGAAGCUAUACAACAUUUUUCUUUCUAAACCUGUUUUUUACAAUAAAAAAAGAAAAAAAUGGAGAAAACUCCAACUGAAUCUACUCAUGUUGUCAUUCAAUCUGUUCAACCUGAUGGAGUAUUUAAUGCCGAAAUUAUCCUUACUAAGACAAACUACGAUAUUUGAUCUCAAAUAAUGGAGAUGCAUCUCGCAGAAAGAAAAAAACUCCCAUAUAUUCGUAGCAGCAUAAAUCCAUCUGACAAAUUUUCAAAGAAAUAUGAGAAAUGGUAUAGUGAGAACCAAAAAGUAAAAAGAUGGUUACUCAUAACCAUGUGUCCUGAGAUCAUGAAGCGAUAGUUACAAAUUCCUACAGCCUACGAAAUUUAGAAUGCAUUAUCAAAAGCCUUUUAUAAUGGAAGCGAUGAAAUACAAGUUUUCACUCUAAAUCAGAAGGCGUUCUCUACGAAGCAAAAUGGACAACCACUCUCUAAAUUCUACGGAGAAUUGAUCAAAAUGUUUCAAGAACUUAAUCACCGAGAUAAAGUGGUCAUGAAGGAUCCAGAAGAUGUUAUAAUAUAUAGGAAGUUUGUUGGAAGAUUGAGAGUGCACAUUUUUCUUGCUGGACUAGAUGAAGAAUUUGACCAAGUUUGUGGAGAAAUUCUACGAAAAGAUACUAUCCUAGACUUAAAAGAAUGUUAUUCUCUAAUCCGAAAAGAAGAUGUACGGCAAAGCAAACUAACAAGAAGGUGGACGACUCAGAAACGUCUGCUAUGAUACCACAAGAGAACAAUGUUUUGAAAUUGUUCGAUAUCCUGACUGGUGGGAUACUCGAAGUAAUAACACAAAGCAGAGAUAAAAAACUGCAGUAGCUGAAUCCACAUCCACUACAGAUCUUAGAAAAGAAUCUUCAGCGCAAAUUGCAACCUCUGUCAAUUCAGGUAAGGUCAUUAAAACUCUUACAUUUGUUAUUAAUAGUAUAUGGAUAAUUGAUUAUGGUGCAACUGAUCAUAUGACUUUUGAUUCUUGACAAGUUUCUUAAUUGAAACCAUCUUCACAUAAACAUGUUUCUACUGUAAAUAGAACCACAACCUCAGUUAUUGGGGAAGGAUCUUUACAACUCACAAUUAAAUCAAAUUUAGACUUUGUGUUAAUUGUUCCAUCUUUAAAUUAUAAUCUUUUAUAUGUGUCUCAAAUAACCUCUUACUUAUCAUGUGUUGUAAUGUUUUGGCCCGAUCAUUGCAUGUUUAAGGACAUCCAAAUGAAGGAAACGAUUGGUUAUGAUAUUAAAUAAGGCAACUUGUAUUACCUGGAGAUGACAUCAACAAACACUGAAAAGCUAAGCCCCGCAUUAGUAGCAGACAAUUCCAUGAAAAAAAAGGAAAUAAGAAAUUUGGUUAUGGCAUAGACGAUUAGGGCAUGUGUCAUUUGAUUUCUUAAAAAAAUUGUUUCCUAGUUUGUUUCUGAAAUUUGAUAUUUGUAACUUUAAAUAUGAUGUUUGUGAACUUUCAAAUAGCCAUCGAACUACUUUUCCAUUGUCCUUAAAUAAGAAUCCAAUUCCUUUAAUGGUAGUACAUUCUGAUGUAUAGAGACCAUCUAAAGUUUCUACCAUUGGAAGAGCUCGUUGGUUUGUUACAUUUAUUGAUGAUUGUAGCAGAAUGACAUGGAUUUUUUUAUGAAAUUAAAAUCAUAUGAUGGUGACAACUCUAUUUCAGACACAAAUUUGAGUUCUACAUACUGAUAAUGGAGGCGAGUAUAUGAGCACAACAAUUCAACAGUUUUUGAAAUCACAAUGAACUCACCACCAAACCACUUGUGUGGGGACACUCCAACAAAAUGGCGUUGCUAAACAAAAAAAUAGACAUUUACUAGAAGUUGUUCAAGCAUCACUAAUUUAGGCCCGCAUGCCACUAUUUUAUUGGGGAGAAGCAUUGGCAUCCGUAGCAUACUUGAUCAAUCGGACACCUUCAAUCUUCCUUGGAUUCCAAACUUAUUUUCUAGUUCUAAAUGAAGAAUUAUGUCAUCAAAUGUGUCGAAUUUACCCCCACAUAUGUUUGGUUGUGUUGCCUUCGUUCAUUUGCCAUGACAAGAUAAAUUAUCUCCUCGAGCACUACGUUGUGUGUUUGUAGGGUAUGCCUUACAUCAAAAGGGGUACCGAUGCUAUCAUCCUCUAUUAAGAAAAAAUAUACAUCACCAUGGACAUAAUCUUUCAUGAAGAUAUCAUGUAGUACCCAUCGGAGCUUGAAUUUCAGAGGGAGUAUAAUGAAGAGGAAAUUCAUACUCUUACAUAUCUUUCACCUGAAGAAGAUCAAUCCUCCAUUGAGGUAGUAAACGUUCAAGAUACUGGAAAAGAAAACGACAAUGAUUCUCAGGCUGAGACAAGUGAAGACACAUUUAGGGAGCAAAAUAACUCAGACAUAACCACAAUCGAGAACGAGUCCAUGAAGAGCCACAUGAAGAAAUAUCUAACCAAUCAUCUGCAGAGGAUGAUCCUACCACAAAUCCCAGUCUAAUCAGAAGAAUACUUCCCCAGCAUCAAAAUAGAGGUAUCUCUAAACCCACAUAUAAGACUGACCUCUCUAGUAGAGUCAAAUACCCUAUGAGUCAUUUUGUAUCUAACCAUGGCUUAUCAAAAUCAAAUCAGUCAUUUGUGAAUCAAUUAUCUACUGUGUCUAUUCCUAACAGUGUGCAAUAAGCCUUAAAAUAUCGAAAGUGGAAAGGGCUAUGAAUGACGAAAUGAGAUCUCUUUAAAAAAAAUCAAACAUGGGAACUAAUUGAUCUUCCACCAGGAAAGAAACCAGUGGGUUGCCGAUGGAACUAGUUGAUCAUCCACCUCCAUUCUGACAAGCAAUGUUUAUCAGCAAUAACAAAUGACUGAAGCAUUUUAAUGAGGUUAGUAACGAAAAAGAGUUUAAUUAGAGAAUAUUAUAAGAGAAAUUCUAAUUUUUGAUUUUUAAUAAAUUAAAAUAUCUUAAAAUAUUAUUAGUUGGUGGUGGUUUCAUGUCAGAUUAAGACGUGACACCUUACUAAUGAGGUCGAGACAAUUAGCUUAAAUUAUUUCAAUGCAUUUGAAAUUUCCACUAAUGACUAUAAUUCUUUGUCCUAAUUACUAUGAUAAUUAAUAACAUACAAUUGAAAUAGUUAAUAUUAGCACUUGGCAAUAAAUAAUUAAAUUUCAUUAACACUAAAUAAUAAUUGAAUAUGGCUUUGUACAUCGAUGACGCCAGCAACAAGGGGACCGCGAUUAUCACUCUUUAAGUUGCUUUUAAAAUUGAUUUUAGUAGUGAUAUGAUUAUUGUAGUGUUUUUAUUUUUUAUAUUAAAAUUAAGUGAUUUGUUAUAAUAAACUUAGUUGAGUUUAAUGGUAUUACUACAUAAAUUGAAUAGUUAUCAAAUAUUUUAAUAUUUUUAUGGCAAGCGUUGACGUGGCAUUUAUUUGUUGUAUGAUGGAUUUUAAAAUUUAUAAAAUUAUUUGUUAUUAAAUUACCCCCAGAUGCUACAUCACCUGAAACUUAAUAAAGGUAUGAAGACAUGUGUGUGUGGACUGAAAUGAAGAAUAUGGAAAAGUUGAGAGCUGUUGUGCAGAUUGAGUUCAGUUGAUGGGGUCUAUUAGAUAUUGUCUGCUGACGUGGCAUGAAUUCGUUAUAAUCUGUUAUAACGAGUUCAGUAUAUCAGUAUACAAUAGAGCUGAUGGAUGGUGCCUGUUUUAGAGUCUUUUUUAUAUUCAUUUGUUCAUCAUUUUGCGCAAGAUCUGUUCCAUUGUGAUAUGUGUAAAGUCUUAUGUAAACCCACUUAUGAUUGGAUUAGUUCUUGAUUAAUAACAACGAGUAAAUUUUCCUUCAAGUGUGCUGGUCUGUGCCCCUGUUUUUUGUUCUGAUAUUGUUUCUUUGUUCUGGCAUUUCAUUUCGAUUGUGUUCUUGGUGUUUCUACUCAUCAAGAUUUAUGAGUCUUGUUGAGAUUAAAGACUUAAUAGUCUUAACAAGUGGUAUCAGAGCCUGGUGAAUCUCAGCCAUGUCUCUUUCGAAGCAUGAAAUUGAAAAAUUCACCAUUGGUGGUGAUUUCUCGCUUUCGAAAUUAAAAAUGAGGGCUCUCCUUGUGCAUUAGAGGCUUGAAUUUGCUCUGGAAAAAGAUAAUCUAGAGGCUGCUACAAGUUAUGUGACUGAUGAUAAGAAGAGACAAAUCCAAAACCGAGCUCGUAGCACUCUAGUUUUGAGUCUUGGUGACUCAAUCUUGAGAAAGAUUUCUGAAGAGAAGACAACCUUAGGGAUUUGGAACAAGGUAGAAGCUUUGUGUACAAAGAAGUCGCUAGCUCACAGACUAUUCUUGAAGAAAAAGUUAUACACAUUCUCGAUGAGAGAAGGAGUCACAAUUCAAGAUCACAUUGAUACCUUCAACAAGAUCAUUCUUGAUCUUGAAGGGGUGGAAAAUGUGACAAUAAGUGAUGAAGAUAAAGCCUUCUUCUUGUUGAGUUCCUUACCAAAGUCUUAUGAAGGCUUUGUAGAUACAAUGCUUUAUGGCAGAACAACAUUGACUCUUGAAGAUGUUAAAGCAUCUCUAAGUUCAAAAGAGAUUCAGAAGAACAAUGAGAUUGAAACAAAUAAUGGUGAUGGGCUGAUUGCCAGAUCAGAAAAGAAGAAAGAUCAGAAGAAUAAAAAUCAGGGAAAAUGACAUGGAAAGAAUUAAGAAAAUGCAGACAAGAAGAAAAAGAAGAGAAAAUGCUUCUACUGCCGGAAGGAAGGGCAUUACAUCAGGGAUUGUCUUAAAAAGAAAAAAAAAGAAAGUCAAGAGAAGUCAGGGGAUGCAGCUGUAGCCUCUGAUGAUGCCUCUGAUGGAUAUCACAUUGCUGAUUUACUUGUGGCCUCAAAUAGCAAUACUAAAGGUCAGUGGGUCAUAGACUCUGAGUGCUCUUUUCACUUGUGGCCUGAUAAAACCAUAUUUUACAAAUAUGAAGUUGUUGAUGGUGGUAGAGUCUUAAUGGGAAAUAAUAAUGUGUGUAAUCUUGUUGGUAUUGGUUCUGUGAAGAUCAAGAUGUUUGAUGGAACUGUAAGAGCUCUACAUGAGGUGAGGCAUGCUCCUAGGCUAAAGAGAAAUCUAAUCUCUUUAGGCAUGCUAGACAGCUUAGGGUAUUUCUUUAAAUCAGAAAGUGGUGGUUUAGAGAUAAGAAAGGGGACUGAGAUAGUGAUGAAGGGGGUUAAAGAAAAUGGCUUAUAUGUAUUGUAAGGCUCAUCAGUGCUUCUUCAAAAGGGAAUUUCUGCUCUUUUUGAGGAAGAUAUAACCAAGUUAUGACAUCUUAGACUUGGUCAUAUGAGUGUCAAAGGGAUGUAAGAGCUCAGCAAACAAGGGCUACUUGGUGGGGAUAGAAUCCAGCAACUGGAAUUAUGUGAAAAUUGCAUUUUUGGCAAAGCUCACAGGUCCAAGUUUCACAAGGGGGAGCAUAUGUCUAAGCAAGUUUUGGACUAUGCACAUGCUGACCUUUGGGGGCCUGCUCAAGUCCCAUCCUUGAGUGGUGGCAGGUAUUUCAUAUCACUAAUUGAUGAUUACUCAAGGAAGAUGUGGGUCUACAUACUCAAGACCAAAGAUCAAGCCUAGGAAAAAAUUCAAGGUAUAGAAAUCUUUGGUAGAAAAUCAAUUUGGAUUCAAGCUCAAAUGCUUGAGAACUGAUAAUGGUUUGGAAUUUUGUAGCAAAGAAUUUGAGGAAUAUUACAAAAAAACAUGGCAUAAAAAGGCACAAAACAGUCAGGUUCACCCCCCAGCAGAAUGGCUUGGCUGAAAGGAUGAACAUGACCUUGGUAGAUAAGACCAGAUGUAUGUUGAUAAAUUCAAAGCUUCCAAGAAGCUUUUGGGCAGAAGCUGUCAAUACAACAAGUUGUUUGGUUAACAGAAGCCCAUAUUCUGCAAUUGGCUUCAAAACACCAGAAGAAUUGUGGAAGGAAAAACCUGUAAAUUACCAAAAUCUCAGUGUUUUUGGAUGCCCUGCUUAUCUCCACAUCAAUCAAGGCAAGCUGGAAGCUAGGGCCUUGAAAGGAGUCUUUGUUGGAUAUCCUGAUGGGGUUAAGGGAUACAUAAUCUGGUGUAGAGAGUAAGGGAAGUGUAUAGUCAGCAGGGAUGUUGUGUUUCAUGAAUUUGGAUUGCUAAAAGAAAAUGCAGAGAAUGAUACUAGACUACAAAAUGAUUCAAUAAUUAUCAAACAAUCUGGAACUUCCAAGGUUAAGGUGGAGCUGUUUGGAAAUAAAGACAGUAGAAAAGAGGUAGCUGAUUAUGAAGAGAGGACCACAGCUAAAGUUGAGGAACAUGAGUCAUCAGAGUUGCCACAAGCUGACUUGCAGACUUAUCAGUUAGCAAGAGAUAGAGUUAGAAGAGAAGUCAAAGCACUAGUGAGGUAUGGCUAUGCUGACUUAAUUACUUAUGCAUUGUUGUGUGCUGAUGAUGUGGCAAUUGAAGAGCCUGCUAACUUCUCUGAAGUUAUUGAAAGUGUGCAUUGUGAUAAGUGGCUUGAGGCAAUGCAAGAUGAAAUGGGAUCCCUUCAAAGAAAUCAGACCUGGACACUUGUUCCAAAUCUAGGUAAUAAAAAGUUGAUCAGUUGUAAGUGGAUCUUCAAGAAGAAUGAAGGAAUUCCAGAUGUUGAACCUCCCAAAUAUAAAGCAAGGCUAGUGGCUAGGGGGUUUACACAGAGAAAGAGUGUAGAUUUCAAUGAAAAAUUUUCCCCUGUUCUUAAGCACAUUUCAAUAAGAAUUUUAUUAGUCAUGGUAGCCUUACUUGACUUGGAGCUUGAGCAAAUGGAUGUAAAAACAGCAUUCCUUCAUGGUAAUCUUGAAGAACAGAUAUUGAUGGCACAACCUAAAUGUUUUGAGUGCAAAGGAAAUGAGGAUUAUGUUUGUUUGCUGCAUAAGUCCUUGUAUGGACUCAAGCAAUCCCCACGACAGUGGUACAUAAGAUUUGAUGAUUUUAUGGUCUCAAAAGGCUAUCACAUAAGCAAAUAUGACAGUUGUGUUUACUUUGGUGGAUCAUAUCAAGGUGGAGUUGCUUAUUUGCUUCUGUAUGUUGAAGAUAUGUUAAUUGCAAGAAAAUAUAAGUUGGAGAUAGAGAGGUUGAAGAAAUGAAGGAUCUCGGCAAUGCCAAAAGAAUCCUUGGGAUGAACAUUACAAGGGGCAGAUCUGCUGACACUUUGUUCUUGAGUCAUGAGAAAUAUAUCAAGAAGGUUCUGGAGAGGUUUGAGAUGCAAGACUAUAAACCUGUCCAAACACCACUUGGUCCCCAAUUCAAGUUGACAGCAGCUCAAUCAUCAGAAGAUGAGUCUCAGGUGAGUGAAUUCCCAUAUGCACAGGUUGUAGGGAGCCUGAUGUAUGUAAUGGUAUGCACCAGGUCAGAUAUAGCUUAUGCAGUAAGUGUUGUCAGCAAAUUUCUCAGUUGUCUAGGCAAGGUUCACUGGAAUGUUGUAAAAUGGAUAAUGAGAUAUCUUAAGGGCUCUUUUACUUGUGGUUUGCUGUAUGGGAAGACUAAGAGUGACAUAAGUGAAGUCCUGGGGUUUGUAGACUCUGACUUUGCUGGAGAUCUUGAUAGAAUGAAGUCAACCUCAGGGUAUAUGUUUGUGUUAAACAGUUGCCUGAUUAGCUGGAAGUCAUCACUUCAGUCUGUGGUUGCUUUAUCCUCAACUGAAGCUGAGUUUGUUGCAACUACAGAGGCAGUAAAAGAGGCCAUGUGGCUAAGAGGUUUGCUUAAUGAGUUAUGGUUAAAUCAGAAAAUUGUUCAGGUUUUCUGUGAUAACCAAAGUGUCAUACACCUGGUAAAGAAUCAGAUGUAUCAUGAAAGAACCAAGCACAUUGAUGUGAAGCUCCAGUUUAUCAGAGAUGAGGUUGGAAAAGGAACUAUAAUUGUGUCCAAGAUCUAUACCAGUGUGAAUCCAACUGAUGUUAUUACAAAAGCACUUCCCACUGCAAAAUUUGAAUUCUAUGUGAAUCUAAUGGGCAUCUCGCCCAAACCUAACUAAAUUCAAUAGUGAAUUGUAGUUGAAUGAAGGUUUUUUAGGUGCUGUGUUAUUGAAAGGAUCAACUGAAUCAACUGCAAGGUGGAGAAUGUGAAGAUGUGUGUGUGGACUGAAAUGAAGAAUAUGAAAAAGUUGAGAGCUGUUGUGCAGAUUGACUUCAGUUGAUGGGGUCUAUUAGAUAUUGUCUGCUGACGUGGUAUGAAUUCGUUAUAAUCUGUUAUAACGAGUUCAAUAUAUCAGUAUAUAAUGGAGCUGAUGGAUGGUGCCUGUUUUAGAGUCUUUUUCGUAUUCAUUUGUUCAUCAUUUUGCACAAGAUUUGUUCCAUUGUGAUCUGUGUAAAGUCUUCUGUAAAUCCACUCAUGAUUGGAUUAGUUCUUGAUCAAUAACGAGUAAAUUUUCCUUCAAGUGUGCUGGUCUGUGCCCCUGUUUUUGGUUCUAAUAUUGUUUCUUUGUUUUGGCAUUUCAUUUCGAUUGUGUGCUUGGUGUUUCUACUCAUCAAGAUUUGUGAGUCUUGUUGAGAUUAAAGGCUUAAUAGUCUUAACAAAAGGGAAUGUAGCAUUGCCAUUAAUCAACAUUCACUCUUAUGACUUUAUGACAUUAGAAUUAAAAUCUUUCGUACAUUUAAUUUAUUUGCUUCCAAAUUAAUCUUUAAUAAAUAUUUUUUCACAUUAUCAUCAAUGGACAAAACUCCAACGAAAAUAACUACACGAGAACAAUUUAUGCUAGUAUUAAAUGCCACGAUAUCUAUAACUUUGUCUGGAUCGAUCAUUCUAAUUUUUUCGCAGAACUUUUUGUCAAUGGACAAACACCUCACAGAGCUUGUCAGCCGCAUUAUUACGAUGUAAAAUUGUACCGGAAUAUCUUGAAUUAUUAGUAGAAUAAUGAAGACUAUUUGGGGCAAUAAAAACAAAUAACGCAGAUAAAAAAAUGGCUAAAAUUAUGUAAGUGAGCCCCAAAGUUUUUGCUAUUUCCAGGAAAUCCCAAAUUUGAAUGGACUAGAGGGAGGCACGUAAGAAAUACAUUUUCUUCCUAGACAAUGACAGCUAUGACAUCAAGCCACGGUGGCGUCAGUAUUGAAAUUAAGGUGUAAUUAUUCAGCCAAUGAGCCUUACACAUCAAGAUAAAAGUCAAGAUAAUGAAAAUUUGGCUGUUUCCAUUUGAAGUUAAAAGCAACGUUUCUUUCGUUUUGUGGGCGACUCGACUGAGCACGCCCCAAUAGCUAUAUUUAGGGCGUCAAUUUGAUAUUUGAAUGGACAGGCAAGUAAGAAAUACAUUUCCUUCAUAGACAAUGACAACGAGGACAUCAAGCCACAUCAUUAUAGUUUGUAGCCCAUCUACAUUUAAACGAUUAAUAAACAAGCUUAGGUGUGCCACUGCUAUUAUUAAUUAUCCCCUGAUCAUUAUAGUUUCUGAAACAGUAAAACUAAACGAAAUUGAAUACAUCAACGAGACCGCAAUUAUCACUUGUUUAGUUGCGGUAUUUAACUUAAUUUUAAUAUAAUAUAUUUGUUAGUUAAACUUUUAAUAAUCAAAUAAUUUUGAUUUAAAAAUAAAAUUAUAGAAAUUAUUAAUUAUUAAUUAUUAAAAAUUCACAAUUAAGGGAACGUUCAUCAAACACACAUAGCUAUUGUUUUCUCUAUAUAUUGCAGUGUGUACGAUAUUGAGGGUUGAAGCCCCAAGCAUGCUCUAAAAUCCAGAUAAUAAUUAGAUCCGGGCCAAAUAUUCAUCAUUGUGUCAGCUGAUCAGUCGGUGGACAUCUCUAUUGAAAAUAUCUCUGACAUUUCACUCGACAAACUUAUUAAUAUAAAAAAUCUGUGGUUUUGCCGUCUGAAUAAUGUAGAAAAAUUUGUCUAUGCAUUAAUCUAGAUGUUUGAGGUGAUUUAUACAUCUGUGGUAAAGAUUUAUAGGUUGACUUAGACGUCUGUGGUAUAGAUUUUAUGUAUUUCAUUACAAAAUGCUGGCCGUUAGAACCCUUUCUACAUCUAUUUAUAAGAUUAACGGGUGCCAGCUAUGCCAUUACAAAUUAUCCCCUCAUCAGAUAUUUCGUUAAAAUUCAUUCUGAAACACUAAAACUAAAUAAUCGAAUAUGGCUUUGCGGGUCGAUGAUGCCAGCAGCAAUGAGACUGCAAUUAUCACUUGUUUAGUUUCUGUGCUGGCCGUGGUUUACUUCGCAUGGAAUGUGAAAAAAUCAAGGAAAGCAAAUGCUACACUGCCACCAGGACCUCGCGGCUUGCCUGUAUUCGGAUACCUCCCAUUUCUUGGAACUACUGACUUGCACAAGAAAUUCACGGAAUUAUCCGGAGUUUAUGGUCCGAUCUUCAAGCUUUGGCUUGGAAAUAAAUUAUGUGUAGUGGUGAGCUCACCUUCCCUAAUUAGACAAGUGGUUCGUGAUCAAGAUACAACAUUCGCGAACCGUGACCCACCGAAGGCUGCACUAGUGGUCUCCUAUGGUGGCAAUGAUAUUGCAUGGUCCAAUUACGGUCCCGAAUGGAGAAAGUUGCGCAAAUUUUUUGUGGGCAAGAUGAUGAAUAACGCAAGCCUUGAUGCUUGUUAUGCUCUAAGAAGACAAGAGGUUAAAAAUACUAUCAGGGAUUUGUAUAACAACGACAACAAAAUUGGCAAGCCCAUUGACAUUGGUGAAUUGUCGUUUUCAACAUUGGUAUGUGCUAUACAGAACAUGCUGUGGGGUGAAGCGCUUGAAUUAAAAGAGAAAGGGACCACUAAUCUUAGGGCUGGGCUAAAAUUUAAGCUGGCAGAACUCAUGGUGCUUGCGGGAACACCGAAUAUUUCGGAUGUCUUUCCAAUGCUUUCAUGGCUUGACAUACAAGGUAUAGAGAGGAGAGCAAAGAAGAUUUCACUCUGGCUUGAUAAUGUUAUAAAUUCUACUGUUGAACAGCAUAGAAACAAGGAGUUAACUGUUGAAGGUGAAGAAAGAGCGGGGAAAAAUUUUGAAGGAUCAAGGAACAAGAACUUCUUGCAGUUACUAUUGGAGCUUCAAGAAAAUGAUGACAGUGCUUCCUCAAUUAGCAUGAACCAAUUCAAGGCCGUACUCGCGGUAUGUUAAGCAACUAGCCACGAACAGUUAUACAAGCACAAUUGUAUAUUUGCAUGAGUGAUAUUUUCAACCUUUUUUUUUAAUUAGAAUUUUAUUGUCACCUUUUGGACAGGAUAUAAUUACGGCUGGAACCGACACCACAACUACGAUGGUGGAAUGGACAAUGGCAGAGUUGAUGCAGCAUCCACAAGUAAUGAAGAAAGUUCAGGAAGAAUUAGCUCAAGUUGUGGGCAUGGACAGUUGUGUUGAAGAAUUUCACCUGUCUAGAUUAAUGUAUUUAGAUGCUGUGGUGAAGGAAACAUUUCGUCUGCAUCCUGCAGUGCCUUUAUUACUACCACGUAGGGCAAGCGAGAGUGGCAACAUUGGUGGCUAUACCAUUCCCAAAGAUACAACUCUUAUGUUGAAUGUUUGGGCUAUCCACAGGGACCCUCACCUUUGGGAUAAUCCCUUAGAAUUUCGACCCGAGAGGUUUCUGAAUGUUGGUAUCGAGAGUAAGUUCGAUUACUCAGGUAACAAUUUUCAGUACUUGCCAUUUGGUUCUGGUAGAAGGAUGUGUGCUGGGAUUCCUCUAGCUGAGAGGAUGCUGAUGUUUGUUUUGGCUUCGUUAUUGCACUCAUUCGAGUGGGAAUUGCCAACUGGCACAAAGCUAAACUUAUCAGAAAAAUUUGGGAUUGUCAUUAAGAAAAAAGAGCCUUUGGUUGCUAUUCCAACACCAAGACUAUCCAAUUCAGAGCUCUACCAUUAAGACCAAAUGGUUGUGAUGAUUUUGUUAAUUUCCGAAGAUUUGUAUGUUAUUUCAAGUUCAAUCGUAGUAAAAUAUUUCAAAUAAGAGUCCUCCGUUGCUUUUUUUUUUUUUUUUCAACGGCAUAAUCUGUGGUCAUGCUUGUAUUUGGAGCCACUUUAGAAAAAUUAUGUUUGAAUUACAAUUUAUAAAUAUUACAUUUUAAAAUAUUAUGAGGCUAAAUUUAUACACGUUCAAUAACCCGCUUCAUAUAUAUUUAACACAAUUUAUAUCAUACAUUGUACACCCAUUUAUCAUAAAUUACACUAUUUUGUAUCUCUAAAUAAUAUUACGUAUUGAUAUUAUAAAAUAUAUAUGGAAAAGAGAACAAAGAAGAUUUCUUAUGGUUUGAAAAUAUUAUGAAUUCUGCUGUUGAACAGUAUGGAAACAAGGUCUCUGUUGUUAAAGGUGAAGAAGCAACAGGGAACAAUAUUGAAGGAAGAAAUUUCACAUGUUUAGUUGCUGAAUUUGCCGCUGUAUUCUAUCGGUAGUAAAAAAAUUAGAGUUUUUAUUUUUCUCUAUUAAUGUUAAGUCAAUUUUCUAUAACAAAUUCGGUUGAGUUUAAUUGUGUUACAAUAUAAAUUGAAUGAUAAUAGAAUUUUCAACGAAUAUUUCAAUAUUUCUAUCUCGAUUGUUGAAGUGCCAUUUAUUUGUUAUGCGAUCGAUUUUAAAAUUUAUAAAAAUUAUUUGUUACUAAAUUGCAUCAUAUGCUAAAAUCACCUGAAACCUAAUUCCAUAACUAACCCUUUAUUUUUAGUUCUCAAGAAAUCUUGUAAGAACAAAAUUCUUUUAUAACAAAACUUUUACAACACAUUAAUUUGUAACUCAUUCCUGUGCGAGAAUCACUCUCAAAUUCCUUCAAUUGCUGUUGAACAAUCAUCUGCUUAUCAAAAUUCAAGCAUAAUCUUUUCUUUUUUUUAAUUUCUUCAUCAUUCUUUUGAAAAAAAAAAAUCAGGAUAUGCUGUUAAAAUUUUGAAAUAAAUUAUCUCAAAAUAAUUACUAACCAGAAAAAACAAAGGGGUUUAACUAGGUUAUGCAUACCUUUGAAAAUUAUAUGUUGAUCGAUAAGAAUGAUGAUCACGAUUGAGGAGUUUAAUUAAAAUAUAUAAGAUUUUAAAAUUAAUCAGGGUUAAAUUGUGAAUUUUAGAAAGAGAGGUUUUGUGAGAAUGCUGAAAGGGUGUUAAUAGUUCCACUCUUUUUAAAAGCAACCAUAGUCAUCAUUUUUCCCGAUUUCUUCUUCCCAUCUCCAUCUUAUUUAGAAAUUUCCCAGAGCCUUUGUUUCCCACCUUUCAUUGUUCUUCUUUCUAAUUUAAUACUAUAGGAUUACAAAAAUAAUUACUCACAUUUUAUCAAACACCUCCAUUCUACCAAGGCCUUGUUUUAGUAGUAGGCUUUUAUUAUCUCAAUAAAAUUGAAAAAACAAAUCUCAAUAAUAUUGGAAAAAAAAAACCUACCCAUAUUUGUAACUUUAAUUUAUUAUUCUCCAUAGACCUACUUUUUAGCUUUGAAUUUUGUUGGAGCCAUAUAUAAACAGAAUAUGUUGAAUCAGCACCAAAAAAAAAAAAAAAAAACUAAUUAUAUAAUUUCUGUUCCCAAGGACAUGACUGAUUGAUUUUCAAGAAGUUUUGUUUGGCUGGCUACUUAGGUUUAAAUCUUGGUGGAGAUUAGGGGUUAAGAAAUAAAUUUGGACUUUGCACACCCCUUUAACUUUUAAAAAGAAAUGAAAAAAACUAAUUAAUUAAUCUUUAUUUUAUUUAUUAAAUAUCAUAAUCCUAUGCGUAUUUUAUUUGUUAUCUUUCUAUUUAAAAGACAGGAGGGCAGAUAAAACUGAAAUAAAUUUUUAGCCCUAUCUCCAUCUUUCAAGUUCCAUAGUUAGGUGACCAGGUAAAGAAAAUUAAUUGAAAGCUACUCCAUCAAAUUAAAAAAUUUUAUUUAUUUAAUUUGUGGAGAUGUAGAAAAUCAAACCCCAUGCCUUUUCGCGUGGAAAAGUGUCAACCUGGUCUAGCUAUGUUGCAAAAGUGAACAUAUUUUAAUACAUGACUAUCAUCCUUUAUCCUAAAUACUACUAUAACUAAUAACAUACAAUUGAAAUAAUUAAUGUUAACACUUGGCUAUAAAUAAAGGUUUUGUGCUUGAAUCUUCACGCAUGACCUUCAUUCCUUUAUUUACUUUGCUAACACAGAUUUUGAGGCAUUAAAACUAAAUAAUAAUUGACUUUGUGGGCCGAGGAUGCCAGCAACAAGGAGACCACAAUUAUCACUUGUUAAGUUACUCUAAUUGCCGUUGUCUUAUAUUCAUAGAAUAUUAGUAAUAAGAUUAUUGUAGAAUUUUUUUAUAUUAAAAUUAAGUCAAUUUGUUAUAACAAAUUUAGUUGAGUUUAAUCGUGUUACCACAUAAAUUGAAUAAUAAUAAAAUUCUCGACAAAUAUUUCAAUAUUUUUAUCCCAAGCGUUGGAGUGGCAUUUAUUUGUUAUACGAUCAAUUUUAGAAUUUAUAAAAUUAUUCGUUACUGAAUUGCACCAUAUGCUGCAUGACCUGAAACUUAAUAAACGGAACGUAGCGUUGGCACCGUUACUCAACAUACUGUUACGACUUUGUGACAUUAGAAUUAAAAUCUUUUGCACAUUUAAUUUGUUUACUUCCAAAUUAAUAUUUAACAAAAUAUUUUUUCACAUUAUCAAUGGACAAAACUCCAACGAAAAUAACUACACAAGAAAAAUGUAUGCUAGUAUUGUGUGCCAUAUCAUCUGUAAUUUUGUCAGGAUCGAUCAUUCUAAUUUUUAAGCAGAACUUUUUAUCAAUGGACAAACACCUCACACAGCUUGUCAGAGGCAUUAUUAUGAUGGAAAACUGUAAUGGUAUAUCUUGAAUUAUUGGUAGAAUAGUUCUUUGGAGCAAUAAAAACAGAUAAGACAGAUGAGAAAAUUGUCAAUACCCCACCGCAAAAGCAAAAGAAAAAAAGGAAAGGAGACAAAAGAGGAAGAAGAAAAAGAAAAAAGAACGAAGAAAAAAAUGGUGCCGCGCGGUAUAGGCAAGAAGAAAAAAUAAUAAUAAAAUAAUAAAAUAAUAGUGCACAACAGUCAUUUGAUUGCUAUAAAUAAAGGGGCAUUUCCCUCAUUUUAUUCAUCGAAUUCUUCAGUUCCUAAGCGAUUUAAGAGUCUAGUGAUUUGAGAGUUUGGGUAUAGUAUAGUUUUGAGUAGUGAGUUAAAAUAUUACAAUACUUAUAACUUAUUUUUACUAAUAAAAUAUUUUUCUUCUAUCUUCACCCGUGGACGUAGGGUCAAAGCCGAAUCACAUAAUUUUUAGUAUCCCUAUGUGAUUAUGUAUCUCAUUAUUUUUCAAUUUUACUUUAGUUACGUGUCUGCUACAUCCUUCAAUUUACUAACAAAAAUGGCCAAAAUUAUAUAAGUGACCCAAAUUUUUUUGCUAUUUCCAAGAAAUCUCCAAUCUGAAUGGGCCAGACCAGAGGGAGGCAAGUUAGAAAUACGUUUCCUUCAUAGACAAUAACAGCGAUGAGUCGAUGACAUCGAGCCACGUCGGUAUCAAUAUUGAAUUAAAGGUGCAAUUAUUCAGCCAAUGAGCCUUACACAUCAAGAUAAAAGUCAAGAAAAUGAAUAUUUAUCCUAAUUAAAACACUUUCUGGCUGCAUUUAGUUGUUUCCAUUUGAAGUUAAAAGCAACGUUUCUUUCGUUUUGUGGGCAACUCGACUCAGUUAGCUGGCUUCUAGUGCUAGUAAGUGAAAAUAGAAGGCUAAUGAUUUAUUUGUUAUCUUUUGAUAAAAUUAUUAAAGAUAUAAUAGAUUUUUCAUGAUACAAAUAAAAAAUCACAUCAACAUAGCUUCCAAAGUACAACAGCUAAUGUUUACCAAACACUUUGUUGUAGCUUUUAAGCUACAGCUGCCCAACUUUAAUUUCAAAUGCACCCUUAAUAGGUUGAUUGAAUUUGUGGGAUAUAGAUUCCACAUAUCGUAUGACCUAGUAACUAUACAAGUGGUUCGUGAUCAAGACACAACAUUUGCUUCCGGCCCGGUGACCCAGCAAUCGCUGCAUUGGUCGCCACCUAUGGUGCCAACGAUAUUGCAUGGUCCAAUUGUGGCCUUGAAUGGAAAAAGUUGAGCAAAUUAUUUGUGGACACGAUGAUAAGUAACGCAAGCCUUGAUGCUAGUUAUGGUCCAAGAAAACAAGAGAUAUGCAUAACAACAAAAAGGAAAAAAAAAAAAAAAAAAAAAAAGGCAUUUGCAAGCCCAUUGAUAUUGGUGAAUUGUCGAUUUCAACUUUGGCAUGUGUAAUCCAGAGCCUGCGCGCUGUGGUGUGGCGCUGGCACGCUUGCAUUGACGAGGGGACAAGUCUUGGGGCUGAGCUAACAUUUAAGCUCGCAGAACUCAUGGUGCUAAUGGGAACACCAAAUAUUUUUUGACAUAUUUUGGUGCUUUCAUGGUUUAAUUCAAGGUAUAGAAAGGAGUGUUGAGAAUGUCAAAUAAAACGGUAUUGAAUGGAAGUUGUUAAAGACACGAUCCGCACCGAACGACAACAGCACGGUUGCUAAAAAUCCUUCCGUAAUAGGCAUAUCUAAUUUUUGAAAAAGUGUAACCUCUACAUUUAUAAAUAUACUCAAUGUAUAAUGUUUUACUUAAGAAAUGAAAAACUUGUUUGUUCAAGGAGAAUAAAGAAAAAUUUUCUAUGAUUUUUCUAUGGUUUGAACAAAGAAGGUUUUAACGAGUAUUAUAGACCUCGAUUGAAUGUUCGAAUGUAUAAUAAAAGAGAAACUGUCACAUAAAUGACAAAGAUACUUGAAAAAAAAAAAAAAGGGCAGCAAUAGAGAAUUAGAUCCGACUGUACAAAUAACUAGUUAAUUCAUCGAUACAUCAUUUUCUUGCUAGAAAAUGACAAUUAUGACAGCAAGCCACGAUAGUGUCAAUAUUGAAAUUGAUUUGCAAUUAUUCAGCCUAUGAGCCUUACACGUCAAGAUAAAAGUCAAGAAAAUGAAAGUUAAUAUCAAUUAAAACACUUCCAUUUCUAUGUGAAGUUAAAAAACAACGUUUCUUUUGUUUUGUGGGGGAUUCAACUGAGCACGCGCCACUAGCUAGCUGGCUUCUAGUUCUAGCAUAUGAAAACAGAAUUCUAAAGAUUUCACUUUCACCUUUUUUCUUUUUUUGGGGUUUUGAAUCAAAGUCAAGGUCGCACUGAAUAAUAUGUAAAAUUUGAAAAAGAAGAAUUAAUAGAGAACAAAGUUUUGUUUUAAAUUCACAUGGUGUGCAUACAAUUCAACAAACACUUCCUAUAAUAAAUCUGGAGUUGUAUCCCACGUUGAACAAUAAAGGAAAGUCACCUAAAUAUACAUGUAGGAUAAGUUACUUUAUUUAGUAAGUUUGUAUUUUCUUCUUUCUUCUAGUUUACAUAUAAAUUUGAUUAGAUAACUUAACACAUAUUUUAAUACUUGAUCAGAAGCCCGACGUACAGGUGGAUCUAGAAACUUGAUUUCUAAGAGUAAUACUAUAAUAAAAAAAUAAUGAUUCAUAGAACCAAUAUCAAAAUUUGUUUACAAGAUUGCCCCCACUCAAAGGUAAUUUUCAUAGAAAUUAAUAGGAAAUUUAAUUGUUAGUGGGGUCAAAUUGCCCCCACACUCUGAAUGUAGAUCCACGCCCGACCCUGAGUCAAGUAUAUUUUGCCACAUAUACUCUGAAUGUCGGCAGGAAAAAUCUUCCACUUUAGUUAAAAAUUUUCACUUAAAAAAUAUUUAUGUUAAUAAAGUUCGUAAAGGAAAUGAGUUUAAUUAAUGAAUAUUAUAGGAGAAAUUAAAGGAAAUGAGUUUAAUUAAAGAAUAUUAUAGGAGAAAUUCUAUUGUUCGGCUUUUAAUAAAUUAAUUAAUAGGUUUAAAAGAUUAAUAUACAUCAAAAUAUUAUUAGUUGGUGGGGGUUCCACAUCGGACUAAUACGUGUCACCUUACUUGUGAGAUUAAGACAAUCGACUUAGACUAUUUAAAUAUGUUUGAAGCUUAGAUGGCACCGCUUCAAUUUGCAUUACUGAAUGUCAUUCUUUAUCCUAAUUACUACCGUAAUUGAUAACAUGCAAUUGAAGUAACUAAUAUUAGCACUUGGCUAUAAAUGAACUAAAGGCCGUGCAAUUGAAUCUUUACUUGAUCACUUCACUCCUUUAUUUUGCUAACACAGAUUUUGAGAUAUUAAAACGAAAUAAUAAUUGAAUCUGGCUUUGUGGGUCGAUGAUGCUAGCAAAAACGAGACCACAAUUAUCACUUGUUUAUUUGCUGUAUUUGACGUUGUUUCAUAUUGGUAGUAAUAGGGUCAGUUUUUAAUCUUUUUAUAUUAAAGUUAAGUCAAUUUGUUAUCAAAAAAAAAAAUUGGUUGAGUUUAAUUAUAUUGCUAUGUACAUUAAAUAAUUAUAAUAUUCUUGAGGGAAAAAGACACCUAGAACCUCAAGGUUUGGGGAAAUGGUCACAAAGACUCCUAAGUUUUAAAAAAGGAACACUAAGAUCUUUUUUUACCCAUAAUACCCUUUGACUAGAGUAAUUAAAAAAUUGACUUUAAAGGUUUUUAAAUAAUUCUAAUUUAAUAUAAAUCAUAUAAUCUAUCUAGUAAACUAAUAAUAUUAAAUUAUUUUUUAUAUUUAAAAUAAUGUUAAAUUUUAAAUUAUUAUAUUUAUAAAAUUAUAAAGAUUUUAAAUAAAUAUUUGGAUUGAAUAUAUUUUACAAUUAAAAGUCUUCCUAUUAAUAAUAUUAAAAUUUAAUUUUACAAAAUAUAUAUUCAAAAUAUUUUUAAUUUUAAUUUAUUUAUUUUAAUAUUAUGUUUCUACCUAUUAUUAAAAAUUACUUUAAUAUAAUAAAAUAGGUCUAAUAGAUUGAAAAAUAUGAAAAUAUUUUUAAAAUUUUAAAUUAUUUUGAAAUGUAUAUAUUAUUACAUUUAUUUCAAUGUCAUAUUUUCAUUUAUUAUAAAAUUUUGGGGUUAUUUUUUUGGGAAUUUAUAGAGUCAAAGAGCAUUAUAAUUUAAUCCAUGCACAAUAUCUAUAAUUAUAUCGGUUGUCGGCUGAUUUCGUGGAGGGGGCGGCAGUUCAAAAUUUUUACGUGCAUGUUGGAUGGACGUCUCUAUUAAAGGAGAGCCACCACUUGCAUGGUAAUUUUUUUAAAUAAAUAUAUACAUUUCAAAACAUUAUUUUCUUGUUGUAUAGUUAACAUGUCACCUUAGAUGUAUUUUAGAGCUUCUCCUAUUAAAGAUAAUCUCAUGCAGUGUUACAGAGUAUGGUAAUAUGGUAUAGAUGAGAGCAUCUGAUUAAAUGAAGCAGCUGGUAAUGCUUACGUGUGUGAGUUAGUUAUCCAGCUCAGCAGCAAAGCAAACGAAAUGAAUUGCAUGCAUAUUAGAUCCAACAAACUGGUAAACUCUAGAUUCUUCUUUCAUUUAGUAUAAAUACCAAGUUGUUAUCAUUUGCUAAAUAUAUAAUAAGAUGAUCAUUUUCAGAUCUUUCCUUUAUAAUUUUCUAUAACUUUCUCGUUAGUUUCUCUUGAACCAAACACUUUGUACGAACUCUUUCGUGCAGUGAUACUUCUCGUGAUCUAAUCAUUAGUAGAAUCUAUAAUUUCGCUACUGUAAUAAAAUCUGUCACUACCCUAUAUGAAUGUAGAUAUUUGACGCGAUUUGUAAUUGCUUCCGACAGGAAAACAGCAAUAGUUUUAUUGAAAUUUGUGGUAUAGAUUCCACGAAUCUUAUGACAGAAUACUGACCACUCCAACCCUAUCCGCAUUUACACGAUUAAUACACAAGCUUAGAUGUGACAAUGCAUUUGUCACUCAUUCAAAUUCAUCCUGAAACACUAUACACUAAAUAAUCGAAUAUGGCUUCGUGGGUCGAUGAUGCUAGCAGCAACGAGACUGCAAUUAUCACUUGUUUUGUUGCUGUACUUGUCGUGGUCUAUUUCGCAUGGAAUGUAAACAAAUCAAGUAAAGCAAAUGCUAAAUUGCCACCAGGACCUCGGGGCUUGCCAGUAGUCCGAUACCUCCCAUUUCUUGGAACUACUGACUUACACAAGACAUUCACGGAGUUAUCUGGAGUUUAUGGUCCGAUCUUCAAGAUUUGGCUUGGGAAUAAAUUGUGUGUAGUGGUGACCUCGCCUACCCUAGUUAAACAAGUGGUCCGUGAUCAAGAUAUAACAUUCUCAAACCGCGACCCACCGAUCGCUGGAACUGUGACCACCUACGGUGGCAAUGAUAUUGCACUUUCCAAUUACGGUCCCGAAUGGAAAAAGUUGCGAAAAUUAUUUGUGAGCAAGAUGAUGAGUAAUGAGACCCUUGAUGCUUGUUAUGCUCUAAGAAAACAAGAGGUUAAAAAUACUAUCAGGGAUUUGUAUAACAACAAUAAGGAUAAUAUUGGCAAUGGCAAUGGCAAGCCCAUUGACGUUGGUGAAUUGUCGAUUUCAACUUUGGUACGUGUUAUGCAGAACAUGCUGUGGGGUCAAGCAUUGGAAACAAGAGAGAAAGAGAUUACUAAUCUCGGGGCUAAUCUUGCAGAACUCAUGGUGCUACUGGGAACACCAAAUAUUUCGGAUAUUUUUCCAGUGCUUUCAUGGCUUGACAUGCAAGGUAUAGAGAGAAGAGCUAAGAAGAUUUCUCUAUGGUUUGAAAAUAUUAUCAAUUCUGGUGUUGAACAGUAUAGAAACAAGUUCUCUGUUGUUAAAGGUGAAGAAGCUGCAGCACGAAAAAAUAUUGAACGAUCAAGAAAUAAGGACUUCUUGCAGUUGCUGUUGGAGCUUCAGGAAAAUGAAGAUAGUGCUUCAUCUAUUAGCAUGAACCAACUAAAGGCCGUGCUCGUGGUAUGUUAAGCAACUAGACACAAAAAGUUGUAAAAGCACAGCGAUAUAUUUGCGCGAGGCCCCGAGUGAUGUUUUGCCUCGAGAACUCUCAAUUUUAUCUUACGGUAAAAAAUGUUUUUCAACUUUUUUUUUUAAUUAGAAUUUUAUUGCAAUUUAUUUAACAGGACAUAAUUGUGGCCGGAACCGACACCACAACUACGAUGGUGGAAUGGACAAUGGCAGAGUUGAUGCAACAUCCACAAGUAAUGAAGAAAGUUCAAGAAGAAUUCGCUCAAGCUGUGGGCAUGGACAGUUGUGUUGAAGAAUAUCACUUGCCUAAAUUAAAGUAUUUAGAUGCUGUGGUGAAAGAAACAUUUCGUUUGCAUCCUGCGUUGCCCUUAUUGGUACCUCGCACGGCAAGCAAGAAUAGCAACAUUGGUGGCUAUACCAUUCCCAACGACACUAAUCUUAUGUUGAAUGUUUGGGCUAUCCACAGGGACCCUCAACUUUGGGAUAAUCCCUUAGAAUUUCGACCUGAGAGGUUCUUGAAUGAUGGUAUCAUAAGCAAUUUCAAUUACUCGGGUAACAAUUUUCAGUACUUGCCAUUUGGUUCUGGUAGAAGGAUGUGCGCUGGGAUUGCUCUAGCUGAGAGGAUGUUGAUGCUUGUUCUGGCUUCGUUGUUGCACUUGUUUGAGUGGAAAUUGCCCUCGGGCACAAAGCUAGACUUAUCUGAAAAGUAUGGGAUUGUCAUGCGGAAAAAAGAGCCUCUAAUUGCUAUUCCAACACCAAGGCUACCAAAUUCAGAUCUCUACCAGUAAGAUCAAAAUGGUUUUGAUAAUAUUAUUUCCCAUUGUAUUGGAUUUGAAGUUCAAUCAUAAUAAAAUAUUUUAAUAAAAUGUCCUCGGUUGCUAAUUUUUCAAUAGUAUAAUCUGCACCUGUCUUUUAUAGCAAUUUGGUCUAAUUUAUUUUUGAAUUAAAAUCCAUAAAUAUUUAUAUUUUUUUAAUUAUAUUAGGAAUUAUGUGGGGUGUAUGGUCUGAUCUUCGAGCUAUGCCUUGAAAACAAAUUAUGCAUAGUCGUGCACACGCUUUCCCUAAUUAAGUUUGUGGUUCGUGCUCAAGGCACAGCAUUCACCCCCCGCGACCCAACAAUCGCUACAUUGUUCCCCACCUAAAGUGCCAACAUAUUGCAUAAGUAACGCAAAAUAUGGUCCCCAAUGGAAAACGUUGCGCAAAUUAUUUCUGGGCAAGAUGAUAAGUAACGCAAGCCUUGAUGCUUGUUAUGGUCUAAGAAAACAAGAGGUUAAAAAUACUAUCAGAGACAUAUAUAAAACAACAACAGAAAAAAUUGGCAUUAUCAUCGAUAAUGGUGAGUUGUGGAUUUCAACUUUGGUAUGUUUAAUUCAGAACCCGCAGUGGGGUGGCGCUAGCACGCCUGCGUUAGGAGACGAGGGGACCAAUCUUGGGGCCGAGCUAAAAUAUAGGCUUGUAGAGCUCAUGCUGCUAAUGGUAAUGGGAACACCUACUAUUUCGGAUACUUUUCCGAUGCUGGUUUAAUUCAUGGUUUAGAAAGGAGAACAAAGAAGAUUUUUCGAUGCUUUGAAAAUAUUAUAAUUUUUAUAAAAUCUCUUAUUGAUAACUAAACAACUAAAAUUUCUGUAAAGUUUUUGUGGACUUUUGAUCUCCUAUGGUGCCAAUAUUUUCGACUAAUUUUUUCCUUCAAUUAAUGAUGUUGGUUGAGAAAGACUAUUUUUCUUGCAAUAAUAUAGUAUUCGUGGUCCUAUUAGGGUUCCGAAUGGAGAAAGUUGCACUAAGUUUUUUGAGUACCAAAUGAUGAGUAAUGUACGUAAGCCUUGAUGGUAGUUAUGGUCUAAGAAAACAAGAGGUUAAAAAUACUAUCUGGGAUUUGUACAACAAUAACAAAAUUGGCAAGCCCAUUGACAUUGGUGAAUUGUCAGUUUCAACCUUGGUAAGUGUUUUCAGAACAUGCUGUGGGGUGAAGCGCUUGGAAUAAGAAAGAAACGGAUGACGAAUAUUGGGGCUGAGCUUAGAUUUAAACUUGCAGAACUCAUGGUGCUGUCAGGAACACCGAAUAUUUCGGAUAUCUUUCCAGUGCUUUCAUGGUUUGAUAUACAAGGUUUUGAGAGAAUAGCAAAGAAGAUUUCUCUAUGGUUUUAAAAUAUUAUCAAUUCUACUGUUGAACGCUAUAGAAACAAGGUCUCAGUUGUUAAAAGUGAAGAAGAAGACGCAGCAGCAGCAGCAGCAGGGAACAACAUUGAAGGAAGGAAUAAGGACCUGGUGCAGUUACUCUUGGAGCUUCAAGGUAAAGAAGAAAAUGCUUCAUCAAUUAACAUGACGCAAUUUAAGAGCUUGCUCGUGGUAUGUUUGCGCAACUAGCCACAGACAGUUACAGAAACUGAGUUUGGCAGAUUACGACCGUUUCUGGUGAUUAUAUAACUAUUUGUGGCUGUUUUUUGUUUUUUUUUUCUUUUAAUUGGAAUUUUAUUGUAAAUUUCUUAACAGGAUAUAAUUUAGGGUGGAACCAACACCACAACUAUAAUGGUGGAAUGGACAAUGGCAUAAUUGAUACAGCAUCCACAAGUAAUGGAGAAUGUAAAGGUAGAACUAAGUCGGGCCGUGGCCAUUGACAGCCAUGUUGAAGAAUUUCACCUACCUAAGUUAAAAUAUUUAGAUGUUGUGGUGAAAGAAACAUUCCGCACGAUAAUAUAAUAUAUGAAUCAUAUAUCCUCUAUUGGUUUUUUGCUCCUUUUUUUUUCAAUAGCUUAAUCUAUCAUUAAAAUCUUCUGAAAUUCUAAAUUAAUAUACAUUCAACCUAGAGUUCAACCCAAAGUUUUAUUGAGCAUUAAAAAAAAAAAUUCUACGACUAAAAAUUUUACAGAGUAUAAAUUAAAAAUUAUGCGCCUACUAACAGACAAAAAACAAUUGAUACACAUUCACCAAUCAAAGGCAAACAAGAGAUUAUUAACAAUAACUUAAUAAUAAAAUUAUAAGGAAUCAAAUAGAAAUGGUACCUAGAAACACAUCACGCCAUUUAAUCAAUCACUUACCCAUAAAAUCCAAACUUAUAAACUAUUAAGGGGGGGAAAUGGAUACCUUUGGGUUUCAUUAAAUCAAAAUUACAACACCAUUAAAUACUCAAAAAUGAAAAAAAAAAAAUCAUACCCAAUAAAAGAGAAAAAAAUAACCCACAAAAAAAAUCAUCAAGAAAAUAAAUUUGAGACUAAGAGAAGAUAUUAAUUAACGCCUGGGUUGCAUUGGAACCACGGCUUUGGCUUCCAUUUUUCAAUUCUUGGUCACAAGUGAUUUCUUGUUUGUUUGCAAUGAUGACGGUUGAUUAAUGAAGCUCUAUUAACAAUGAAUGAAUCAAAAAACUUGAGCCUUGAAAAGACUAACGGUCAUAUUUUUCAACUCCGAAUUAGUGGCGUUUGAUGAGUCCUUGCCAAAACAAUCACUCGGCAGAUAACGAUCAUUUUUCAACCAGCAAAACUCAUUCAUUGUUUUUCACCUUAGUGAAGAUUUAAAAAUUGUUUCAAAAUAGGAUUCUUAAAAAAAUAAUAAUAAAAUGAUAUUUAACUUAAUUCUAACUUAGGAAAACAAAAUAUCUACACUCCCAAAGUUUGGAGAAAUGGUCAUUAAUAUCCCCAACUUUCCAAAAAGAGACACCAAGAACCCUUUUAACCAUAAUACUAUUUACUUCUAUUAUCCCAAAAAACAAUUGACUCUAAUAUUUUAUAAUAAAUAAAAAUAUAACAUUAAAAUAAAUGUAAUAGUAUAUACAUUUUAAAAUAGUUUCAAUAUUUAAAAAGCAUUUUAAUAUUUUUAAAUUCUAUUUUAUAUAUAUUGAUUAUUUUAAAGUAAAUUUUAUAAUAAAUAGAAUCAUAAUAUUAAAAUAAAUGCAUUAAAAUUUAAAUUAUUUUGAAUAUUAUGUAAAAUAAUAAUUUUAACAUUAUUAGUAUAUGAGAAUUUUUUUAAUUGUAGAAUGCAUUUAAUGCAAAUAUUUAUUUAAAAUCUCUACAAUAAAUAAAAAUAUACUAUUAAAACAAAACUCUACAAUACAUACAUACAUACAUAUACAUUGGCCUGGUAUUUUUAUUUUUCAUUUUUAAACUUAUUAAAUCCUCUAACUAUCAUUUGAUUUUUUUUUUUUUUCAAUGAUCAAGAGGUCAUUGCCGGAUAAAUGAUUAAAAUCAACUAGUUCUACAAGAAUAUCUCUUUUUAAAGGAAGAUGAUUCUCUCUCUCGAAAUUUUUUUAUCUCGUGCUACAAACUAAAAACUUAUGCCACUUCAUUAACCACAAAGAUCUUUGAGGAAAUGAUGCUUCCCUCCCCCCCCCCCCCCCCCCCCCUCCCACAAAAAAAAAAAAGAGUCCUUCCAUAUUGUGUGAAGGCUAAUAUAUCGAUGAAUCUAGAUUUCUUUAAAUUUUUUGUUUUACUCAAUUCGAGAUAAUAAUUCAAUCCAUGCAAAUAUCUAUCAUUGUAUGAGCUGACCAGUUAAUAGGUUGAUUGAAUAUAUGUGGUAAAGAUUCCACGUAUCUCAUGACAGAAUGCUGACCACUGGAACCCUAUCUACUUUUACGCGAUUAAUUCACGAGCUUAGGCACAACAAUUGCAAUACAAAUUAUCCCCUCAUCGUAUAUUUCGUUAAAAUUCAUUCUGAAGCAGUAAAACUAAACAAUCGAAUAUGGCUUUGCGGGUCGAUGAUGCCAGCAGCAAUGAGAGUGCAAUUAUCACUUGUUUAGUUUCUGUGCUUGCCGUGGCUUAUUUCGCAUGGAAUGUGAAAAAAUCAAGGAAAGCAAAUGCUAAACUGCCACCAGGAACUCGCGGCUUGCCUGUAGUCGGAUACCUCCCAUUUCUCGGGACUACUGACUUGCACAAGAAAUUCACGGA